rnacentral:miRNA from 1 species
UGGAUCUUUUCGUGCCAUCGU